GUCACCAAACCCAUGAUUGCAAACCUGGUGCCAGGACAUAAAAUUUAAAAUUAAUAACCAAAAUAAUAAUGAACACAAAUCCAAGUCAGUCAACAAUUCAUCGUCUUACAUUGCUGCAUCUGUGGUACAGGGACCUAACUCGCUUGAUAUAGCGGACUUAACUUAUUAAUGAACUACGAUGAAAUUUACAAUUACAGCCAAGCUUCAUAUUUCUUACGUUGCUGCAUAUGUAGUGCAGGGACCUAACUAGCUUGAUAAGGCAGACAACUUAUUAAUGAACUAUGAUGAAAUUUACAAUUAUGGUCAACUGUCAUAAAUGCCCAAUUGUAGCCCAAAGUCUACUUAUAUGUUACUCUUUGACAAUCUUUAUUCUAAUAAUAAAGUUAAUAAAUCGACAUUUUGAUUUCUUGUGUUACAUUCUGCCCUUUAUAGACCAUCUCACAAGCAUGGAUUAAAAUAAAGCAAAUGUUCAAGCAAAGCAAUUAUCUGGUAAAAAAAAAUUCCAGAAUAAGAAUUUCAUUCUCUGCCAAAAUCUUAUGAUGAUUGAGGAAACCUAUGUCAUCAACACUUAGUGGCCUUCAUUUUACUCAGAAUAACAUGGAAUGGUUCUUAAUAUCACUCAAAUAUAGGCUAGUCUUCCAUGUACAGGAGAACUAAGAGGACAGCCGGACUAUUUUCAUCUGAAAAGUGGUAGUUGAGACCAAAACAUUUGCAAUUUUGCAUUGACAUUCACCAGCUCUGACCCUGACUUUCCUCAAAAAGUGUCUCCAUGAGUGCAAAAUCUACACGGACACUUGGAAUCUCUUUUGUUCCUAACAGUAAAACUUUGUGUGUAUGUAAGUGCCAUACAUAGCUCUUUCUAGAAAAGUGCAGUUUCUCGACUAUUCUCAAUGAAUCUGUCAGCAAACUCAUAGCACUAGAUUGAGAUAUGCUAACAGGCAUAUUAUACUCCCUCGUAUCAAGUGAACAAAGGGAUGGGUGAUACAAUCUUCACAACGCAUGAACCUACAGUAACUGUAUUAGAAACAUUUUCUGACCAAGUAUAAGCCUCUACAGUCUCUACAAGCAUUUCACUCUCUUCAGGAAGAGCAGACAGGAAUGGAAGACCUUUAAUCAGUGUGGUGCACUUCAUCAUUCCAGGAAUAAACAAUCAUUGUUUAUAGACAACAUAAACUCAUAAAGUAUUACGUAUUAUGUAUCUGUUAGCAGUCCCAAAGAUCAUAUUGAUACCAUAGAGCAACACUACCUAUCAGGUACUCAACAAUACACUGCAUCCACUCCACUCACUUCAUAUGUCACGUCACCCACUCAAACCUUAACCAUUUUAAUGAUGGUCAACCAAAUACAGUAGAAAUAACCACUCAUAGAAUCACUUGCCUUCAAGUUGUUUUCACUUCUUUGCAUCUAUUUGAGGCUUCUAACAUAUUUGAGGACCUCUACACAUGUUACAACCUUAAACAUCCCAAUGCUAUGAAAUCAUAUGUUACAACCUCAGAGAAGGAAGGUUAUGAGAAUAACACAUAAACAAACAAUUAUACCAUAAGCAUAACACAUGCAAUGAAUACAAGCAUAAAACCAAAACUGAUGGAGAAACGAACCAAACUUACAUGGAGGCCAUGGAAACCUGUU
rnacentral:misc_RNA from 1 species